UGUAAAUGAGGAACUAUUAUGUAAAAUGAAAUGGUUAGUUUAUGGCUGCUCUCAGUUAUUUGUUUUUCUUUUCCUUUGUUUUGUUGUUGCAUAAAUUUGUUUACUGUCACUAUCAUUUGCUAAGAUGUAGUAACAAAGUUUAGUUAGACUAUGUACCUAGUUAGUUCUAUUGGAAUUUCUCCAGUAAUGUAAUGAAAUGUUCCCAAUUAAGAUAUUAAAUUGUUUCUAUUAUUCUGAUUUUAUUAUCUUAAAUAGGCGAGUUUUUUAUUAUCUUAAAAAUUGUUUCUAUUAUUCUGAAAUUGUUUCUAUUGGAACUUCUCCAUUAACAUUUAUAUCCUAAAUCAAAGACAUCCUGUUGUUGGGUCCUGAACUCCCAUUCCUCAGAAAGACCAAGUGACAACUGCUUAGGUUGUGCUGUUCAAAGGAAAAC
rnacentral:lncRNA from 1 species